rnacentral:rRNA from 1 species
AGUGAACGCUGGCGGUAGGCCUAACACAUGCAAGUCGAACGGCAGCACAGUAAGAGCUUGCUCUUACGGGUGGCGAGUGGCGGACGGGUGAGGAAUACAUCGGAAUCUACUUUUUCGUGGGGGAUAACGUAGGGAAACUUACGCUAAUACCGCAUACGACCUACGGGUGAAAGCAGGGGAUCUUCGGACCUUGCGCGAUUGAAUGAGCCGAUGUCGGAUUAGCUAGUUGGCGGGGUAAAGGCCCACCAAGGCGACGAUCCGUAGCUGGUCUGAGAGGAUGAUCAGCCACACUGGAACUGAGACACGGUCCAGACUCCUACGGGAGGCAGCAGUGGGGAAUAUUGGACAAUGGGCGCAAGCCUGAUCCAGCCAUACCGCGUGGGUGAAGAAGGGCUUCGGGUUGUAAAGCCCUUUUGUUGGGAAAGAAAAGCAGCAGGUUAAUACCCCGCUGUUCUGACGGUACCCAAAGAAUAAGCACCGGCUAACUUCGUG